rnacentral:lncRNA from 1 species
AUAUAUUUGUAAAGGAUUUGUAUUAAUUAUUCCGCUGCAUAAAAUUUUAUCAUGCACUCAUUAUUUUGAAUCUGUAUCUGAUACCCAUUUGGCUUAAUUAGCAUCUGAGAUGUCACAUGGGCCUUUUUAACUUAUCUUUAUGGGUGUGCGGCAUGGGUCGCAUGCCAAUUCUCAUCGUGCGGCCUGCUAGCUUGCGACUC